rnacentral:lncRNA from 13 species
UUCAUGGGGGGGGGGUAGCAAGAUAGGCUGCGGUAAUAUAAUGAUGAUGAUGCAGUUUCUUGGAAAUUAGAUUCUGGAAAUAUGUCCUUAUCUCAAUGUUUACAUCACACAGUAUCUCAGUAAUAAUGACUUUUGCAAUGAAUGGCUACAUUUAAAAUGAUAAUCAAGACAUUUCCUGGCAAAACAAAGAUGUCACGUAGAAUAGAAGCUGGUCGUUUUCCGACUCUCAUUUUAUUCAUGUAGAACUUCAAAUGUUUGUCUUUCUGUCUUUGGCAGCAUGAUCGUUUGCCAAGGGAGGGCUUCUGUUGAUACUGAUGAUAUUGAGCUGAUAAGCCACUAAGCCACAUUCUGUUUUUAGUUGCUUUGCCGCCCAUGUAUGGAAAAAUUUACAGGGUUCCUUGUAACAGUAUGNNNNNNNNNNUUCAUGGGGGGGGGGUAGCAAGAUAGGCUGCGGUAAUAUAAUGAUGAUGAUGCAGUUUCUUGGAAAUUAGAUUCUGGAAAUAUGUCCUUAUCUCAAUGUUUACAUCACACAGUAUCUCAGUAAUAAUGACUUUUGCAAUGAAUGGCUACAUUUAAAAUGAUAAUCAAGACAUUUCCUGGCAAAACAAAGAUGUCACGUAGAAUAGAAGCUGGUCGUUUUCCGACUCUCAUUUUAUUCAUGUAGAACUUCAAAUGUUUGUCUUUCUGUCUUUGGCAGCAUGAUCGUUUGCCAAGGGAGGGCUUCUGUUGAUACUGAUGAUAUUGAGCUGAUAAGCCACUAAGCCACAUUCUGUUUUUAGUUGCUUUGCCGCCCAUGUAUGGAAAAAUUUACAGGGUUCCUUGUAACAGUAUGUUCUGGUGCCUCUCGGGCUGUUGAUUGGAGACCUAUUUGCUGAUUUAAUGUUAUUUGUGUUUCUUAAAUGUACAGUAUCUGUAUUUUGUAAAUUGUGUACGAAUGGUUCCUUCUGAAAGAGACCUUGGUAUGAAUGGGACUCCCUGUUUAAAAUAAAGGUCAAAUAAAUCCCUUCUGUAUUGUGUUCUCUCUCAUUUCAGGACCAUCCCAGACAGCCACAGUGGAGAUGUCCUCCCCAAGUGGUCUUCUGCAGUACUGUAGCACCCUCUAGUGAUGUGGUGUUGCAGUAUAAACAUGGACGACCGGUGCUGGCUGUGCCGCUACCCUCCAGGCAGGAGAGCUGUCUGUUCUUCCUCAGGCCCAUGUUAAUGACUGUAGGAGACCUGAUCCACGACCUGCAGAGAGAAGACCCAGGAGUCACCUCUGCCUCUGUGCUCACCAAGGGUAGGACACACACAAAUAUGUUGUACACACACAUAAAUAUAUGUUGUACACACACAAAUGUUGUGUACACACACUCAAAUGCAAACAUUUGCCCGUAUUCAUAAAGCAUUUCAGAGUAUGAGUGCCUAUCUAGGAGCAGUUCAGCCUUUUAAAUAAUAAUGAAUAUGAUUUAAUGGACAGGGCAGAACUGAUCCUAGAUCAGCACACCUACUCUGA